rnacentral:ncRNA from 1 species
AUUAAAAAGGCAAACUUCGUGAAAGCGGAGGACGCAAAGCUUUAGAGCCUGUAAAAUGGCAGUCAGUUGCUG